CAUGCUUAUAACAGUCUCUGGCACAAGGACAGUGUGUGACAGGAGCCAUGGCAGAGGGGAGAGAAGGGGAAGGAGACAGUCUAAGGCUUAUUCAUUAGCUGAGGGUCACGCAAGAGGCUCCAGAACAUGGAAGUCUACCCAAAUGAGUGGCUGGUGUCUGGGCUUCCCUCCAGGAGAUAAAAUAAGUCUUCCAUGAACCACAACUCACCCAACAAACUUUGAUUCAACCAAAGUUGUGUGAGCACUCUCCUUUUAAAAGAGGAAGAGAGAACCCCCAAGAAAAAUUAAGAUUUUGUUAAAAUAACUAAUAUUCUGACAUCUAUGAAUUUUCAGCCAGUGUCCUAGGUCAUUUAGGAGCCUAACA